rnacentral:misc_RNA from 1 species
UUGUGGAGGAGGACGCCGAAGGUGGGGCUAAUGACUGGGGUGAAGUCGUAACAAGGUAGCCGUACCGGAAGGUGCGGCUGGAUCACCUCCUAACAGGGAGACAACAAAAUGUUAAAUAUUAAUUUUGUCACCUUAGGUCGAUCGGUAUCUCACAUUCUUAAUUUAUUAAGGAUUUUAUUUCCUAAGUUUUUUCUAGGUCACACCCAUUACUUUCCCUGGGCCAUUAGCUCAGGUGGUUAGAGCGCACCCCUGAUAAGGGUGAGGUCCCUGGUUCAAGUCCAGGAUGGCCCAUAUCUCUAUGUUGGGGGUAUAGCUCAGUUGGUAGAGCGCCUGCUUUGCAAGCAGGAUGUCAGCGGUUCGAGUCCGCUUACCUCCACUGAUUUCCACCUCUGCCAUAUAUUUAGAAGGGAAAUGUUUUGAGUAGUGAUCAAAUUCUGAACGAAUCUAGCUUCCUAAUUAUUUUUAUUAAGAUGCUGGACUCAUUGAAUAAAUUUCAUUGUUUUCAGAGAACCUUGACAACUGCAUAGAUUAUUUUUAAAGACAAUUAGCAUCUUUAAUGAUGCAGAUUUAUUAUUUGUGCGAAUGCAUUAAUAACAAUUCUAUUAAGCUGAUGCUUCAAUUAUGAAGUUAUUGGUCAAGCUACAA